UACUCUACAACGUGCUUUUAGAAGUUAAUUUUUUUUCUCAAUCCCACCAGUUGUUGUGAUGCCGCCAUUACCAAAACCUCAAAUCUCAAUCCAAUUCCCAAUCGAGAAAUGAAAAUUCGUCGCUCUCAGUUGGUAACAAUUCCCAUUAACUGAUUCACCAUUCGCACUCUCAAUCCAGUUCCAUCGUCGGCGACCACUAGCAUUCAGUCCUUUUUCCGCUUGCUUUUGGUGUAGAUUAGGUUUUUUUUUUAAAUAUCAGAAGGAGCCCAACACAAGUUGUUUCUUCUACCUCCUCUCAUCACUGUCUUGCAGAUUUCAUUCAAAGCAUCAGUUUUUUUUGUAGGUUUUGGAGCUUUUCAUGGCUUCUGUUUAAGCCCCAGCAAAUUGCUACUGAUGUAGCAUUAGUAUAUCUGGCUUCUAAGAUGUUGAAUAUGAACUUUGACUCCUUAAGCAUUUGAUUGGAAUUUCAGAUGCUGCCAGUUGUUCUUCAAGGACUUUUCUGGAAAUCCUAACACUAUUCGCGAGAGAUGAUUGACGAUCUAAGAGAUACGUGGGCGACAUAUUUAAACUACCAAACACAAGACGGUGGAGAUAGAAGACAACGACGGUCAAGUUUGAAUUGUACAUAUUAUUUGAUUUUUUUUAGAAUUUUAGUUUUAGUAUAUAAGAUUAGAUUAUAGAAACUUUGUACUUAAGACAUUAUUGGAAGAAAUUGAUGGUUUUAGAGAAAUUGUUUUCGGAUAUAAAUUAAUGUAACAAAUGCUUUUUUGACAAGAUGAAUAGAGCAAGCAAACAAUUCUGGUUCA